AUGAGCCUCUGGGUGGACAAAUACCGGCCCUGCUCCUUGGGACGCCUGGACUAUCACAAGGAGCAAGCGGCCCAGCUGCGCAACCUGACUCCAUCUAAAAAGAAAAUUGAAAUUAGCACUAUUGCAAGCAAUUAUCACCUUGAAGUUAAUCCCAGUGAUGCUGGAAAUAGGACCGGGUAGUAAUUCAGGAGAUGUUGAAAACAGUGGCACAAUCACAGCAACUUGAAACAAACACUCAAGGAGAUUUUAAAGUGGUAUUAUUGACAAACUCACCAAAGAUGCUCAACAUGCCUUGCGUAGAACCAUGGAAAAGUAUAUGUCCACUUGCAGACUGAUCUUGUGUUGCAAUUCUACAUCUAAAGUGAUACCACCUAUUCGUAGUAGGUGCCUGGCAGUUCGUGUGCCUGCUCCCAGGAUUGAAGAUAUUUGUCAUGUGUUAUCUACUGUGUGCAAGAAGGAAGGUCUGAAUCUUCCUUCACAACUGGCUCAUCGACUUGCAGAGAAGUCGUGCAGGAAUCUCCGAAAAGCCCUACUUAUGUGUGAAGCCUGCAGAGUGCAACAAUAUCCUUUUACUGCAGAUCAAGAAAUCCUGAAACAGAUUGGGAGGUGUAUCUCAGGGAGACGGCCAACGCUAUUGUCAGUCAGCAGACUCCACAAAGGCUCCUUGAAGUUCGUGGAAGACUUUAUGAGCUUCUAACUCAUUGUAUUCCUCCUGAAAUAAUAAUGAAGGGCCUUCUCUCAGAACUUUUACAUAAUUGUGAUGGACAACUGAAAGGGGAAGUGGCCCAGAUGGCCACUUACUAUGAACAUCGUCUACAGCUCGGUAGCAAAGCCAUUUAUCACUUGGAAGCAUUUGUGGCCAAAUUUAUGGCACUUUAUAAGAAGUUCAUGGAGGAUGGAUUGGAAGGCAUGAUGUUUUGACAUCUUGAGGUCUAUCCUUAAUUCUUCCUAAUAUUUCUCAGUAUCAGCAUUUACAUUCAGUUUAUAUUGGAAGAGCUGCAGGUAAAAUAAACUAACUU